rnacentral:tRNA from 1 species
GGGGAUAUAACUCAGUUGGUAGAGUGCUUGCCUAGCAUGCAAAAGACCUUGGAUUCAAUUUCCAGAACCACCA